UGGUUCAGACAUGGCUGGGUAAAGAGGAGACGAAGCAUGUGAUUCUAUUGUGCACCAAAAGAGUCGAGUGAAUGUCGUUUCAUUGUAAAUUAGUUGCUGUAUUAUAGCUGACUGGAUCAUGAUUGGCUUGAAGCAGCUAAACCAUGGCCGAUUGGUCUCACUCACCCCAGGUUCUAGCCAUGAAUAGAAGAAGAAGAGUUUCCAGAAGCAAUCGAAGGAGGGUAUACCGAAAACAUAGGAAAACACUUUUACUUUUAAGACAUUGAGAAAAUUAUCUCACACAUAGACAUUUUGACAGAAUACAAGUGGUCGAUACUGGUUGAUGCAUUUUCAAGUGGUGAAGUUGCAAGGCUUAAAGCAGGCAUGAAGAUUGUCAAAGGAGAAAUUACUCAUGAGUUCCUUCUAAUGUUGUACAUAAUUUGUAUUUCUAUAAUAAAUAUUAUGCAAUAUUAGCAAUGUAUUACAUUUACUUACUAUUGGAAUGAUUAUUUAUAUUUGACAUCUUACUACAAUGAAUUACCUUUUAUUUUUUA